rnacentral:snRNA from 1 species
GGGCUUGUUUCAGCAGCACAUAUACUAAAAUUGGAACGAUACAGAGAAGAUUAGCAUGGCCCCUGCACAAGGAUGACACGCAAAUUCAUGAAACGUUCCAUAUUUUU